GCACACACACACAUUCCACCAGUCGCACUUCGUGAUCAUCGUUUCGCUUCCAGAAACGGACGUCCUUUUGGAUUUACCUACAGGUGUCUCCGUUAAACGAUGAUCUGAAGAGGUCGUGGAGACUACUGGAGUCAAUGUGAGGCUACUCAUACAGAGAUGUCAAUGCCUUCCAGUUAACAACUCUCUACAAUGAUGGGGAUCUAAAGGGGAGUCUGCAGCUCUUGUCUCAGGGAAAGUCUUCUGCAGCCCUUCUCUGACCACGGGCCUGUCUGACAUCUCUCAUCCAUAUCAUUCCUCUUUCCAUCCACCCAUCCCUUCCUCUAUCAUGAAAGGCCUGUCCAGUAACCGGAGCCACCACCAUGUGGUCACCUACGACCAAUCAUAUGAUCCACUGGGUCACCAUGUUGACCGUAAGCCAUAUUUGAUCAGCCAGAUGGACAUGCCAGUGCCCAUUCCUAUGCCACAUCCAUCUGAGAUGACCUACUACAAUGCUCAGCGUACCUCAUACCCAUCGGACAGCAACAGUGUAGUCCCGUAUGGAACCUUCCCAAGGAGGUGCCACUCCACCUCUUCAUCCCACCAUGCUGAUAUGAAGGACGAGUGUAUGGCUGUAGUACCGUAUGUAGGAGGAGGAGGAGGGGGAGGAGGAGGAGGAGGAGGCUAUGGAGGUAAAACGCCAACCCGGGUACCUGCAAACUUUGCGGAUUCCUUUGAGCGUCAGUCAUCAUUUGCAAGAGAUGGCUACCACACAUUGCAGUACAAACGUGGAAUGCUUGCUCACACUGGGGGAAUGGGGGCCAACAACAACAACAACGACAGUCCAGGAAGGAUUCGCCAUCUGGUCCACUCAGUCCAGAAACUCUUCACUAAGUCACAUUCAUUGGAAGGGCCACACCACACACAGUCCACCAAGGGGGGCAGUAACGGGAGCGUGAAUGGUGGUGGUGGCGGCGGUGGAGCCGGUGGUGGUGGUGGUGGUUCAAGGGCCAGCCCAGAAGGUGAAACUCCACCAGUGGGUGUGCGCCACCGGAAGCGCAGCAAGAGCCGAGAGCGCUGUAGAUCAGCGGAGCCCAAGCAUCGCAGCCAUCACCACCACCACCAGCUCCACGGCUCGGCAUCAGCACCGGGCUCCGGCUACUGGAGCUCAGAUGACAAUCUAGAGCGGGAGCUGUGUCUCUACCACCCCCACCACCACCACCACCCCCCACCCUCACCCACACCCUCCAUGUCCCCAUCACCCAUUGGCAUGACAAUGACUCGCUAUCCUGGCAACAACCCUGACAAGUACCCCCAGUCUCCCCUCCCCAGUCUCCCACCCUCGCAAUCCCAACAAUACUUUCUGAUGGACCCUUAUGGGACAAUCAAUGAACACACACACACCCACACACACCAUGGCCAUUCACAUCACCACACUGCACUCAAAGCCUCCCGGAGCAACAACGAUGUGAAGUAUGCAGCGACGUCGGCAUGUGUGACAGUUAGUGGUAACAGCAAUAACAGCGGCGGCGGCGGAGUAGGCGGCCCCUUGCUGCCAUUGGGUCUGGUGGACGGGUCCAUGGUGAAGAAAGGGGCAUGGUCAUCAAGCCUAACGGUACCUCAGGAUGACUGGAGUGGUUUCUCCCCGCUGGGCAAAGACGAUGACAUUCCUUGUAGGAGGAUGAGGAGUGGGAGCUACGUGAAAGCCAUGGCCGAGGACGACAGCGGAGACUCGGAUGGGAGUCCGAAGCCCUCGCCCAAGAUCCAGGCACGCCGUGCCAGCUACCUGAAAGCCACCCAGCCCUCGCUGACUGAGAUGACUACACUACAGAUUUCAACGGAGCAUUCCCCCAAGCUGCAGAUCCGGAGCCACAGCUACCUGCGUGCGGUGAGUGAGGUUUCAAUCAAUAGAAGCCUGGACACCCUGGACCCCAAAACCCUCCUCGACCCCAAAUCGCUGCUGUCCUCACCCCAAUACCGCUCACGCAAUGAAAGCUACAUGAGGGCCAUGAGCACCAUCAGUCAGGUGAGUGAGGUGGAGGUGAAUGGACAGAUCGAGCAGGUAUGUGAACAGGUCUACAGUGAGAUGCAAUCCCAGGCCAUGGAUGCUGCUAUGGACAGCAUGGACACCAUGGACACCCUGCCCAUGCCAGGAUGCUUUCGGAUGCGGAGCCACAGCUACGUAAGGGCCAUUGACCAGGGCUGUGCCGGGGAGGAAGAGGGAGAGGGGGGUACGCCACUGCUGCUGCUGCCAUCUUCUCCACCACGCACCUCUGCCACCACUGUCAGGACCAUCCAGAGCAGCACAGUCUCAUCUUGUAUCACCACCUAUAAGAAAACCCCUCCACCAGUGCCGCCCCGAACCUCCACCUGUUCCUCAGCAUCAAAGCCCUACAUCUCCAUCACGGCCCAGAGCAGCACAGAGUCUGCACAGGAUGCAUACAUGGAAGGGGAGGGGCCAAGAGGUGACAUGACCAUCCAAUCAGGGCUCAGUAACUCAACAGAAAGCAUCGACAGCAUGAAGGCCUUGACAGCUGCCAUAGAGGCUGCUAACGCACAGGUCCAUGGACCGGCCAGUCAGCACGUCAGUAACAGCACCAUCACAGUCAGCACCCCCGCCUCCUCAGUCCUGAACAGGGGGGCAAUGCUUGAAGACCAUCGGGAUGAAUACAGGAAGGAUGCACUCAGGAAGGGGAAAUGUCUCUCCAUAGGCAUCCAGGUGGAUGGACCAGAAGAUCCUCAGGAUGUGGAUGACCCCUUGAAGUUCACAUCUAUAGGUGUGCAGGUGGAAGAUGACAGAGGAGGGUAUCGUCGGUUCCAGCGCUCCAACAGCGUGACAACAGCAGUCCAGGCAGAUCUGGACUUGCCAGACCUACUGGACACCCCUCUAGACUCACCGGACACUGACAUGGACAUCCCAUCUUCUGGUAACAUCUCCCGGCAAUACUCACGUGAUGCCGCCACAUCCACUGUCAGCAUCCAGGGCUCAGGGAACCACUACCAUGCCUGUGCUUCAGAUGACUAUGAGGACGUAGGUUUUGACCCAUCCAUUCUCCCCCCACCGGACCCCUGGAUAGAUAGUGUGAACGAUGACUCAUUAGAGGCUGGCUUCGACAGCUCUGCCAUCUUGGAAGUGGUGCAGCGGUCAGUUUGUCACAGAGAUGGACGCUGGUUUCUCAAGCUGCUGCAGGCUGAGACGGACCGCAUGGAGGGCUGGUGUCGACAGAUGGAGCUCGACCAACAGGAAAAUGACCUGCCAGAUGAGAUCUUGGGGAAGAUGAGGAGUGCGGUAGGAAGUGCUCAGCUUCUGAUGUCCCAGAAGUUUCAACAGUUCAAGGAUCUGUGUGAGGAGAAUCUGAACCCCAAUGCCCACCCUCGUCCAGUUGCCUCAGACCUAGCUGGGUUCUGGGACAUGCUUCAGCUCUCCAUUGAAAACAUCAGCCUCAAGUUUGACGAGCUUCACCAGCUCAGAGCCAACAGCUGGAGACCCCUGGACCCCCCGGAGAGAAAGUGAAGGCCUUUGCAAACAGCCACGCAUCAAUCAGCAUAUCAACAACACCAACACCACCACGGGGCCUUGACACCUCUGGGCCACCAUAGAUCCAUCAUGUCUGUCUGUCCAUCCAUCCGCCCAUGCUUCCUUCCUUCCUUCCGUCGUCUGCUGCUGACUCACCGAGAGGCGGCUCCCACCUCCAGUGCCAAAAAAGCCACCUAAGGGCCCCCACCACCACCCCCCACUGGCCAGAGAUCGGUCUUUGGAGAGCUCAGAGAAACAGCGGCAGGAAGCCAGGAAGCGCCUGAUGGCUGCCAAGCGAGCGGCAUCGGUACGACAAAACUCAGCUACCGAGAGUGCAGACAGCAUCGAGAUCUACAUCCCCGAGGCUCAAACCAGGCUAUGAGGAUAUUAUCAAGGACACACACAGGGUUGACAUGUAGUGCACACAAGACUGAUACACACGCACAAGUACCUGCUGACACAUUGGCACAUGAAGUUCGGAGACCAAUGAUAUCCAAGCAAUCAGUACCUUCAACACCAAGCAAGCAUCUGGCCAUGCCCUGUUAGAACAGACCUAACCCCUAAGAAAACAGCAUUUACUUCUAUCUUGCUCGCUGGAUCUUUCCAUGAUCUUCAAAGAUCUUUAAAGUUCCCAGUUAAGAUCUUGUUCCAGAUAUUGAUAGAAUCCCUAAAGAUCCUUAGGAGCCUGUCAACAAUCUUGAAAGAUCUUUAACUGGAUGUGCAAGUAUCAUAAUAGGAUCCCAAAGGAUCUUUUAAGAUCUUGAUAAGGUCUGUAAACAUCUUGAUAUGUGCUUGUGCGGUCUUAGGAUACUAAACACAGUUACAAAUGGGAUUUUCUUAUUUAAUGUUAUUUGGUGAGCGCUAUCUUAUCCACCAAGAUUUUGGAGAUCCUUAAAAUCAAGUUUAUGGGCUGAUUUAGCACUGAUUUAAGUAAAUAAGUGCUAUACAUUGGCACUUCUGAAGGCUGAAUGGCUGAAAACAUUUUGUGUAGUGUCAGACAAAUGAUCCGGUAAAUCUAUGACAUGAUUUAUUUCUGAGUACGACCCUCUUUUAUUAACAUAGAUACAUGCACUUAGGAUAAUGCACCAGUUGGUCAGACUGCAGUGGCAACCCUACAAAGAGAAUUAGUGAUAUUUGGCUAUACAAAUAAAAUUGACUUUAAGUCAGUUUUGUGUAAAGUGCAAACUGUUAAGCAUAGUUAUUCAAAGCCAUAUGCAGUCUUUUCAGAAUUGAAAAUUGAAAAUUUUCUGUCCAAAUGAUACACCUUCAGAUGUAUAGCAGCCAGUUCUUAAGUGGCAUGAGUUCCUCAUCACUAGUAUUUGUGAUCCAUGAUUGUAGCUCCUGUUGUGCGUCCAUGUUGACUGAAAUGUUGCUGCUAGUCGGCCGCUUGUCAGACAGAAGUGAAAUGGAGUACAUAGGGUCAGCAAACAAAAACAUUUUAAAUCACAACAAAGCAUACACGAAUAUUUCAUCCUUCAGCAACAGAAUGCAAUAUGCUUUUGGAUCUGCAAUUUCUUAUUCUUUGAUGCACAAUAUAUUUUGGAACUGUUUAGGUAUUGCACUACAUAGCUGUACUAUUAUGCACUGAAGCCUGUUACAGGUCAGUCUACAGAUUACUUGGCUGUAUUUAAUACUUGAUUGUGGUUAGUUUAUCCAAGCAUUCUGCAACCCAAUAUUUCAGAAUAAUCAAUUAUGGUCAAGUCCACUGUCAAGCUGUGACCAAGUCACUGUACCUGUUUGUUCCAGAUGAAUAUGCUUCACCAAAGAAAGCCUUGCUGCUGUGCAUGUUGUAGACUAGCUCCAUGUACAGACAGAAGUCAGUUCAGUAGCUGACUGGGAACACGCAAUGGCAAAAAGAUGUUAUGUCUGUUCAUUUACAUUAACUACUUGACUCCAACCACUGCAGACAGAGAAAAAUGGAGCAAGAUACUUUCCCCCAGUCCAAUAAUGUCCUUGUAAUUUCUUCGCUUUUACCACUGGUAUUUGUAUGAGACAAGUCUACACACUGAGUAAUAAGCAGGACAGUCCAUUCCAAGGUGGUCCACUAUUGAAAAACAAUGACCUUCUUGUUCGACCUCAGAGGUCGCACAGAAGUUGUUGCCUCUGCAUCAGUCAUUUUUUUUAAAUGAAAGACCACCACUUGGUAGGUGUUGUGAUAUGGUAACAGACUCCAGUAAGUAGUAAUACUGCGUGUGCAUUCUGCAUUGACUCCCAGAAUAGUUCCAAAAUGUAUCACUGGUCUGAGUCAAGGGUGCUAUGUCCACUAGUGUCCCCUGACUUUUGAAAAUCUCUAUUUUGUAUCUCUCACCUUCCCAGUGAGAUGGAUUAAUAGAGUAGUGGGCAAAUGUAUUGUUACAGGAUUGAAAUUGAAUAUUUGAAUAUUGAAUGCCUGAAUAUGCUUUACUGGAUAAGCACUUUUAAACAUUAUUGAAGUGACAGUGACGAUAAGCUUUGUAUCCCCCUUUACUUCAGGGGUAGAAUAAUAACAGCUCAUGAUGAAACCACCGGCUGAGUGAAUGAUAACUGGUAGCUAGAGCUAUGGCUCUCCUACUUUGCUACUCAAUCUAGACACACACACACACACACACACACACACACACACACACACACACACACACACACACACACACACACACACACACACACACACACUUUUAAGACCAUAGUUCCACAACUGAAUUCUGUUGUGGAGGGAUGAAAUAUUUGUGUGUGCUGUGGUGUAAAAUGUUGUUUUUUGCUGAUCACAUGUGCUCCUUUUCACUUUUUUCUGAGAAGUAGCCAACUAGCCAUAAUUUUAACUCAUAAAUGGGUCAGAAUUUACCCUUGUGCAUUUGUUUGUUUGUUUGUUUUUUACUGUAUCUUUGCAAUGAAAACAUUUAAUAUUCAUGUUUCUAGGUAUUCAAUUCAAUGUUUUAUAGAUGUAAUAGAACAACAAGAGAGCGAUAGAUGCUUAGGCUGCUAUGACAUGUGUUUUUGAUUUUGGCACAGCCACUAACCUGCUGCCAAAAUACAUAACUAGUUUGAAAGUCCAUAUAGUAGGUGGGAUGCUUGUUUGUUUUGAUGGCAAGUGUACCUGUUAUCCACGAGUUAAAUAUACUUGUGUUACACAAACAUCCAUAUUUUAAAUGAAAGAUCAUCCUUAUGCAGGCCAAAUAUGUUUCUCAAAUCUCAAAUUACUGAAAAUACAUUGAAAUCAGUACGGGUCAUUUUUGACCCACCCAUGAAACAAUGUAUGUUCCAAUCACUUCUGUAUGUAAGGGCUAGCAGCCAGACCUCAGACCAUGGGGACUCGCCACAGGAGCUAGCAAUGAAGAAUUUAAAAAACUUUGUGUCAGUAAAUCCAAAUUAUUCUGUGCUCAUGAAAUGGAGCCUUUUCUGUUAUUGCAGAGACAGGUUCUAUUGAGCCUAUCCUGCAUCUGCUACAUAUUUCUCACUCCUGCAUCUGUGAUGUAAGUCUAUAGAAAUUCUCAGUGGCACCUCAGAGGUUUGUUCAGAUCUCAUAAGUCUUGGUCUGAUAGGUACAGGUUAAAGGUGUGAAUUAUCUUGGAUAUUGUUGGUCUUGGCACAUUAUACACACAGUCAGAUGCAUACAGGGCUGAUGGAUGUUCAUACACUCAGUGCACACAACACACACAUACACACUUGUACACACUUUCAUAAGCCUCUCCAGUGAAAUCAUGAAUAUACUUGCACACUGGGUUACUCACACACACACACACACACACACACACACACACACACACACGCACACAUACACACAAUCACACAUAAUUAUUUCAGGUCCUGUGGCCAUAUGAACACUGCAGGAUCCAUGCAGGCCAUUGUAAUAUAAAAACAGUGUCUCUUCCCAAUGAAGAAGGGAAUGCCAUUACCACUGUUUCUUCUCUUUCAUAUUCCCGCCCUGUCUUUUCACUUCAUCCCAGUUCUCUAUGGAACGCAGAAACUUUAUGUAACAAACAAAUGGAAUAUUUUCUGCCUCCUUUCUUUGGUGAUCCCUCUUUACAAAAAUGAAAAUAAAAAAAAGGUUUUAUGAAUUUUAACCCUCCCUGUGUAACAUAGAAAGCCAUCUUGGGAAUUAAUAAGUGCUGAAUACUGUCAGAGAAGCUAUGAGAAUAUUGUUAAUGAGAAAAAUGAAAAGAAAAAAAAAAACAAAAACAAAAAAAAAAAGCAUAAUGCCUGAUAAUGUUUGGAAAUUAAGUUUUUUUGGAUGUUUGUAUAUUCACCACCAAAGCAUGGGUCACACAUUUUCUCCCUUGUUUGUAAUUUUCACAAAAUCCUAAGAGUGUCUCUUCUCCUUGAAUAUCAAGGUGAUUUGGCUGAAUAACAGGGUACAUUUAUGCAUAAGCAAUACUCACGAGAUAGUGACCUUUAUUUAACUGCUCACAGAUUUAUUAUAGAAGAUAUGAGAAUAUAAUCAGACUAAGAUUGAAUCAAACAUGCAAUGUGGUAUUGAUCCUCAGUAUACUUGUGGAGUAGAUUUCAGGAGAAUAGCCUGACUACACUGGAGGUGUAACUGAGCUUUUCUUACUAUUUUAAUGUUUUUUAUUUGAUUGCUGCAUCACUGGAUGCAUUCCCUCAAAAAGUAACAGCAGAAACCACAGAGAAUGAUGAUCAUAAAGUUUUGUUAUUGGAAAAGAGUCAAGACCUCUUUGUGCUUGAAUUCCCUAAAGGUCUUUCUACUUAUCCACUGUUUCACAAACAAUUAAAGGACCAUACCAGUGAUUUUGCAUGUUUAGUGUAACAUCUACAAAAUAUAAACUUUACAUUUCUGCUCAUCUUUUUCCCAAAGCAAUCGUAUUUUUGAAUUCAGAUAUUGAUUUCCAUUCAUUCAACUAUGAUAUGAAAAUGAACUUUCAGAGUCUUCAGACUUUCUUCACACCAGUGUUCAUCACCAUAAUAAAGUUGUUCACAUUAGUUGUCCUAAAAGCAGCAGCACUGCUGUGCUUUGAUGACUUGAAAUUGGACGCAGUGAAACAGUCUCUCCACCAAAAAACAGUCCCAAGGGAAAUGUUGGCUUUCCACAGCCAGUUAUCAGUUUUGUAGUUUAUGAAUGCCAGUGUCUUUGUUAUAAGUUGGGGGUGUCAACCAAAAAUUCAAAUGUGAAAAUCAAGGGAACUUGACACUAUGUUGUGAGAUCUUAUUAUUUACAAAAUAAUUUGUUGCAACGUAAGUCUCUGCAGUGGACCUACAGGGGGUGCUUGCUUGGCCCCUAGGGUUGUUCAGGUAACCUUGUUUCCAGGUUUUUUCCUUGUACAGAGUAAAAAAAGAACCUGGAAGAAGGUCCCUGGUUAUUGUGGAAAGACAGGGAAUCUAAUGAAACACCCACCAUCCUCUCAUUGAUUACUCAAGCUGUCCAUCUGAAUUUGAACAGGGAAUCUCAACUUGUUUAUGUUCCCAAUAAUUUGUAUAGUUCUCUCCAAUAGUGUGAGUGAAUCUUGCCUCCAAAAGCUCUAUAUUUCAGGAAGCAUACUCUGCAGCAUGAGUGGAAGAGGAGAUGGAAACCUGAAGAUUCUCUUCAUCUGGUAAAACCAGAAGUUCAAGGAACUACAAGAACUUUGUCAGGCCAAGGUUUUAGGGAGUCUCAGGCUGAAGAAUAGAAACAUGUCACUAGGAAUGUUUUCACUAUAAAUUAUCCCGAAGAAAGAACAUUUCCUUAUCGGUCCAGGGGAGUAAAUUAUAUCAAAUAGGGGUCUGUGACAUGAAAAUUGCUUGAUCCAACCCAUUCCUGUGUUGGCAGUGUUAGAUAUGAGGCUGCUUUAAACCACAUUGCAUGUUUGACUGAUUCUUAAUCACACCUAUGGAAUCCCUUCAAUAGAAACUCAUUACUUUGUGAUAUAAAAAGAUACCCUGAUGGCUUUCCUUAAAACCAUCUGACCACUAAUAUCAGCUUUGGUCCAUUGCUUUGUCGGUUUAAGCUACACAAGGUAAUUUCACACACUGGUGGCACCAAAUGACUGCGAGAGGCGACUGCUUUAAUUUUCUUCAUUACUUAAUUACCCAAAAAGUCCUGUGUGCUGACAUCCGUAAACUAAAUGUCUUGUUAGCACAUGGGGGGGUGGAGGUGUUGAAGAGGUUCUGCCAUUACUGGUGUGUCCAGCUUUCUCUGGACUCGCUCUUUUGCUGUUAUCUAGGAGACACUGUUGGAUUUCACUCUCAAGUUUGUCUUUGUCUUUGUGUGUGGACAAUAUUUUCCACCAGUGACCAGAAUUCAAUUUGAUAAAGUAUGGUGAAUAUACAGUGUCUCAGUUGGUUACUUUGUGAUACUUUGUGACCUACUUUGUGAUUUAGGCUAAAAAGAAGACACAAAUGCCUACUGUAGCUUAAACCUAUGGAAUGGAAAAUGGGUUGUAUCAUGUAACAAGACAUUUCAAUAAUGUCUGGGUCUUGUAUUCAAAAGGUCAUGACAUGAGAAAUAGUGAUCUUGAGACCAAGAUGAUUUUCUGAGAGCCAUCCUGUGGUAUUUAUCUGUGAAAAUGCCAUUUUCAGUAUAAUGACAGUGUUUAUCAUGACUUGUAACUGCCAUUCAUUGACCCAGAGAAAAAUAACUGGACAUUAAAAAUAGGGACUCACGGGACAACUAGAGACUAUACUUUGAUUAUGAUGGUGAUGGUGUGUUAUAUUGAAACUAUAUUGUAUUUUCUUUUCUUUUGUAAAGUUUAGUUGUGCGUGUGGGGGUGAACUUUGUAUAGGAUCUGAUUACCUCUGUGUUUAAAUGAUGACAGUGACAAUGACAGUGAGCCAUACUCAAUUUGAAAUACCCUUAUCAUAAGGAAAGGGCCAUACAACUGCUGAAUGAGUAUGUAGUUUCAACAGUAUCUUAUUAUUUCUUAUCUUGAGUGUUCCAGUAGCAAGCUUACUGUCUGCCUGUUUGUCUUUUUGUUUGUUUGGGAGGAACAGUAGAGCAGUGUUCAAGACAGGAGCUAUCUGGUUAGGAGAGUUUGAACUUGGGGGAAAAGAAGAAGACACCCAAAUUGUGAACAGUCAGUGACCAAUUUCAGGCUCUGGACACCGUCCUCUUUCUUCGCCCUUUCAGGAACAGCUGUAACAUUCUCACUUCUGAGUUGUCUUUAUGCACCAUGAGUCCCAUUAUGUAUCCCAAGAUCAAAUGAAUGCUUACUGCAGUGGUUCUCAACUGUGGUCCAUCAUGACCCCACUACCUGUAGGUUGUCAUUCCAGCCAAAUGCUACAGAUGUUGUUGAUGGGUUCCUGCCCUCAGUUUAAGAUGUUUUAAAGAAAUCAGCUGCUGUAGUGUUUGGCUAGAACAGGAGUUUCCAAACUUUUUCAUGCUAGGACCCACAUGUAUAGGUACUGUUUAUCACAAGACCCACAAGAAAAAAAAUCCCUCCUUUUACAUUGGCUAAAUACUUGGUAAUGAGAUGCCUUUUCAGUUGCCAGGGUUCACAGCUGUACUAAAGCUGAAGUUUGCAAGCAAAGAACAAAUUUGCGGACCUCAAAACCAUCAGGUCCAAGGCUGCAUUCUCAAGUCACUUUUGCAGGGCAUCAUGUCAGUGACAUUACAUUGUACUACAUUACAUCCCUUAAAUUUUUCCACUCUGUUGUUGAGACAAGAAUGCAUUGGAGCAGCUUUCCCAGGACCCACUCAUCUCCAUGCUGGGACCCACCAAUGGGUUGCAGUUUGAAAAUCACUUGGUUAGAAUGAAAAACUGCAGAUUCUUGGGACUCAGUGGCUCAUGGUUGAGAACCACCAGCUUUCCCGUUUGGGACACAAAAUGGCCACUGCAGAAUGGCCAGACAUGGACGCUGUGAUGUCAAAUUUGUGAAGAAAAUACAGGAAGGACCAUGGAUGGAAUGCUGCUGAAAGCCUGUGUAACUCCAACCAAUGACAUGCUUGAGCUGGCUCUGUGUUUUUUUCCUCAGGAAGAGAUGGGAAAUGUAGUCCAUAAAAUCAGGGUCUCCCAGUCAUGACGGUCUGUUACUCAGUAUGUAUGUGUGUGUGUUUGUGUGAGCGCAUGUGAAUGUGUGUUUUUACAUUUGUAUGUAUGUUUCAAUGUUUAUACAUAAGUAUGUUAACAUAUGGGAGAAGCACUCUGUGUGCGUGUGCAUGUGUGUGCGUUUCUGAAUGUUAAUAGCCUACAUCUGUAUAACUCCAGGCACUGUGUGUAUGUGUGUGUGUUUUUGAGGUCUCUAUGAAGUGCUUCCUAAGUUCCUUGGUUUAUAUGUCAGGCCUUUCUUGAGUACGGUCUAGUAGCCUCAUAUAGUCAUCAUGUACAUUACAACCAAAUCUCCACUCAUACCUGGAACCAGUCUCUUGUGUUUGUACAGAUAACGGCUGAGGGUGUUUCAUGAAGCAUGCAGACACAUUAUUACUACUUAUGAACCUAUAUCUAAGUUUAAAACAUGUAUUUGGUUAAUUUCUGCUAUUUAUUAUGUUAUUUAUUGAUUUAUUAUUUAUUCAUUUUUUUAUUGUUUGGGAUUCUGUUGAAGUGGUCUGUCAUGCUUUUCUGAUCUUCUGUUGUAUUGUAAAGAGAUGAUUAUAUGUCCAUACAUAUUGAUGAACACAGAAUAAAAUUAACCAUCAACUCUU